rnacentral:rRNA from 1 species
GUGCCAGCCGCCGCGGUAAUACGUAGGGUGCGGGCGUUAAUCGGAAUUACUGGGCGUAAAGCGUGCGCAGGCGGCUUUGCAAGACAGAGGUGAAAUCCCCGGGCUCAACCUGGGAACUGCCUUUGUGACUGCAAGGCUAGAGUACGGCAGAGGGGGAUGGAAUUCCGCGUGUAGCAGUGAAAUGCGUAGAUAUGCGGAGGAACACCGAUGGCGAAGGCAAUCCCCUGGGCCUGUACUGACGCUCAUGCACGAAAGCGUGGGGAGCAAACAGGAUUAG